rnacentral:rRNA from 1 species
CCUACGGGGGGCUGCAGUGGGGAAUAUUGGACAAUGGGGGCAACCCUGAUCCAGCCAUGCCGCGUGUGUGAAGAAGGCCCUCGGGUUGUAAAGCACUUUCAGUGAGGAAGAACGCCUGGUGGUUAAUACCCAUCAGGAAAGACAUCACUCACAGAAGAAGCACCGGCUAACUCCGUGCCAGCAGCCGCGGUAAUACGGAGGGUGCGAGCGUUAAUCGGAAUUACUGGGCGUAAAGCGCGCGUAGGUGGCUUGAUAAGCCGGUUGUGAAAGCCCCGGGCUCAACCUGGGAACGGCAUCCGGAACUGUCAAGCUAGAGUGCAGGAGAGGAAGGUAGAAUUCCCGGUGUAGCGGUGAAAUGCGUAGAGAUCGGGAGGAAUACCAGUGGCGAAGGCGGCCUUCUAGACUGACACUGACACUGAGGUGCGAAAGCGUGGGUAGCAAACAGGAUUAGAUACCCCUGUAGUC